rnacentral:rRNA from 1 species
AGGGAAUCUUCCACAAUGGACGAAAGUCUGAUGGAGCAACGCCGCGUGAGUGAAGAAGGCCUUCGGGUUGUAAAGCUCUUUCGGACGGAAAGAAAUCGCCGCCUCUAACAUAGGCGGUGGAUGACGGUACCGUAAGAAGAAGCACCGGCUAACUACGUGCCAGCAGCCGCGGUAAUACGUAGGGUGCGAGCGGUAAUCGGAAUUACUGGGCGUAAAGCGUGCGCAGGCGGUUUGGUAAGACAGGUGUGAAAUCCCCGGGCUUAACCUGGGAACUGCGCUUGUGACUGCCAGGCUAGAGUACGGCAGAGGGGGGUGGAAUUCCACGUGUAGCAGUGAAAUGCGUAGAGAUGUGGAGGAACACCGAUGGCGAAGGCAGCCCCCUGGGCCUGUACUGACGCUCAUGCACGAAAGCGUGGGGAGCAAACA